UACGAAGGGGGCUAGCGUUGUUCGGAUUUACUGGGCGUAAAGCGCACGUAGGCGGAUCGUUAAGUCAGGGGUGAAAUCCUGGAGCUCAACUCCAGAACUGCCUUUGAUACUGGCGAUCUUGAGUCCGGAAGAGGUGAGUGGAACUCCUAGUGUAGAGGUGGAAUUCGUAGAUAUUAGGAAGAACACCAGUGGCGAAGGCGACUUACUGGACACAUAUUGACGCUGAGGUGCGAAAGCGUGGGGAGCAAACAGG
rnacentral:rRNA from 1 species